rnacentral:lncRNA from 1 species
UCCAGAGCUAGGGAGGGUCUGAUUGGAGCUGUAGCCGCCAGUUUACGCCAGAGCCACAACAACGCGGGAUCCGAGCCGCAUCUGCAACCUACACCACAGCUCACGGCAACGCUGGAUCGUUAACCCACUGAGCAAGGGCAGGGAUCGAACCCACAACCUCAUGGUUCCUAGUUGGAUUCGUUAACCACUGCGCCACGACGGGAACUCCCAAGAAGUACAGUUUUUAAGCUAGCACCUCAUCAAGUUCUGUGAAUACCUAAACCUAAUGAGGUCUGUAGAACCUUUGUAAUGUAAUUCUUUUUUUUAUUAAAAAAAAUUCUUUUUUCCCACUGUACAGCAUGGGGACCAAGUUACUCUUACAUGUAUACAUUUUUUUUCACCUUUUGUUCUGUUGCAAUAUGAGUAUCUAGACAUAGUUCUUGAUGCUACUCGGCAGGAUCUCCAUGUAAAUCCAUUCCAAGUUGUAUCUGAUAACCCCAAGCUCCCGAUCCCUCCCACUCCCUCCCUCUCCCAUCAGGCAGCCACAAGUCUAUCCUCCAAGUCCAUGAUUUUCUUUUCUGUGGAAAGGUUCAUUUGUGCUGUAUAUUAGAUUCUAGUUAUAAGUGAUAUCAUAUGGUAUUUGUCUUUGUCUUUCUGACUUAUUUCACUCAGUAUAAGAGUCUCUAGUUCCAUCCAUGUUGCCAUAAAUGGCAUUAUGUCGUUCUUUUUUAUGGCUGAGUAGUAUUCCAUUGUGUAUAUAUACCACAUCUUCCAAAUCCAAUCAUCUGUCAAUGGACAUUUGGGUUGUUUCCAUGUCCUGGCUAUUGUGAAUAGUGCUGCAAUGAACAUGCGGGUGCAUGUGUUUCUUUUAAGAAAAGUUUUGUGUGGAUAUAUACCCAAGAGUGGGAUUGUGGGGUCAUAUGGAAGUUCUAUGUAUAGAUUUCUAAGGUACCUCUAUACUGUUCUCCAUAGUGGCUGUACCAGUUUACAUUCCUACCAGCAGUGCAGGAAGAUUCCCUUUUCUCCACAACCCCCCCCCAGCACUUGUUAUUUGGGGACUUAUUAAUGAUGGCCAUUCUGACUGGUGUGAGGUCGUAUCUCAUGGUAGUUUUGAUUUGCAUUUCUCUUAUAAUCAGCCAUGUUGAGCAUUUUUUCAUGUGCUUGUUGGCCAUCUGUAUAUCUUCCUUGGAGAACAGUCUAUUCAGGUCUUUUGCCCAUUUUUCCAUUGGUUGAUUGGCUUGUUUGCUGUUGAGUUGUAUAAGUUGCUUGUAUAUUCUAGAGAUUAAGCCCUUUUCCGUUGCAUCGUUUGAAACUAUUUUCUCCCAUUCUGUAAGUUGUAUUUUUGUUUUCUUUUUGGUUUCCUUUGCUGUGCAAAAGCUUUUCAGUUUGAUUAGGUCCCAUUGGUUUAUUUUUGCUCUUAUUUCUGUUGCUUUGGGAGAUGUAAUGUAAUUCUAAGGUUUGGGAUCCUCCAUUGCUGCCACUGAAGUUACUCAGGAACUAGUUGAAGUGGUGUGGACAGUUGGGGAACUCUGAACUCCAGAGCCCAGGACACUGACUGAAGUUUUUAAUGCCACACACCUCCUGUAGUUAACAUCUUUAAAGACUUGGCUUUUAAGAAUAAAGUCAGGUUUGGACCUUUGCUUUGUUGUUUUCAUUUGCUUUGUUUUUCUCAGCUUUGUUUAGGUAUAAUUGAUAAAAUUGUAAAAUAUUUAAAGCUUACCUCAUAAUGAUUUUUUUUUUUUGCCUGCACCUGUGGCGUAUGGAAGUUCUUGGGCCAGGGAUUGAAUCCAAGCCCCUGAAGUGACAACACUGGAUGCUUAACCUGCUAACUCACAAGGAAACUCCCUCAUAAUGAUUUGAUCUGUGUGUAUGUUGUGAAAAGAUUCCUCCCAUCUAGUUCAUAAACAGAUCCUCCACCUCACAUAUUUAUUGCAUAUGUGUGUGUGUGUGUGAGAGAGAGAGAGAGCAUUAUAUUCUACUCUCUUAGCACAUUCCUUUUUUUUUUUUUCUUUUUGGCUGUGCCUGCAGCAUGCGGAAGUUCCCUGGCCACAGCAGUCACCUGAGCCACAGCAAUGAAUAUGUUGGAUCCUUAACCUACUCACCACCAGGGAACUCCACAGAUUUCACUUAUACAGUAUAGUGUUAGCAGCUAUAGUCGACCAUGCCUUAUUUGUUCCUCUUACACCUGAAAGCUUAUACCCUUUCAUCGUCUUCUCCCUAUUUCCCGCAUGCCCCUAGCGACCACUUUUCUACCCUAUUUUUGAAUUUGACUUAAAAAAAAAAAAGAUUUAUGUAUUAGUGAUACUAUGCAGCAUGCAGUAUUUUUUUUUUUUUAUUUACUUUGGAUUGACGAAAGAGUAUCUGAAUUUAUUGCGCCUACCUGCCCUUGUAUAUAGAAGAUAGUAACAUUAGAAGUCAUUCUCUUCUCUGCUUAUGUCAGAUAUUAUUUUAAUCAUUGGGUGGGUGGGGGGAAUAAAAUCCUACCCUCCAAAAUUUCACUCUCUACUAGAGCCCUGGGAUAGCCAAGAGACCGUUUGGAUGAACCAUGCUAUGGCAGCACACAGGAGGGCUUUUGAUUUAGAUGUUGAUGUGUUUUUUGGGCUUGGGUGGCUGUUCAAGGAAGAUUUUCCAGAGGAAACACUGAACCGAAUUUUGAACUUCACUUCAGGCAUCUGAAUCGAAGUUUGCAAUGUUAAGUGUGAGUUAGCCAAACCAAAGAAAGGAAUAUGAGGUAAUGUAGGUAGACAAAAGCAAAUAUGAAUUACCCAAACCAAAGAAAGGGAUAUGAAGGUAACAGGUAGACAAAAGCCUGGAGGCAUGCAGGGCAUGGCACAUGUAGGAAACUGCAAGUCAUUGAGCGUGGUUGGGAUUUUAGGCAGUGUGGGCAAGAAAGGGAGGCUGGAGAGGCCAGAUCAUGAAGGAUCUUGUUAGCUGUCAAAGACUCUCUUCCUCUGGUCUUCCUUGUAAAUACAGCCUUUGUUCACAGAAGCUGGGAAUCUUUGAGUCAUCUUUGACUCUUGAGGACUCCUCCUUUCCCUUAAACUCCCACAUAAUUAGGCACCAAAUCUUGUCCGUUUGGGGAGCUUGGGUUGAAAUGGUGUAAUGACAAGCUGGCUGUAGACUCUGUUCUCCAUGGCGGGCUGUAACGUUAAUUUCUAGGGCUUAAUGCUGGCUCACAGACCCUUAGUAAAUGUUUAAAUGAAGAGUUCAAAAGAGAAAAUGUUUAUGAGUAUUUUUACAUGCAACCAUUCUAUUUUCCAUUUUCUUAUAGAAAAUUUAAUAAUCUUAGGUGACCUAGUUGAAAAGUCAACACUUAGAUAACUAAAAAUCUUCAAAACAGAAUCAGACCCAAUUAGUAAGAUCUAAUGGUGGGUGACUGAAGCAAUAUCAUAGUUGGGGGAGAAAAGUGCCAGACAGCUUUUAGCAAUUUGAUUAUAAUGAGUAUACACUAGUAGAGAUUAAUUUCUUAGGGGAAAAAUCGUGAACGUUAUUUAUUGC